rnacentral:rRNA from 1 species
GCAGUGAUGCAGAGCAAAUCCCCAAAAGCAGUCUUAGUUCGGAUUGUAGGCUGCAACUCGCCUACAUGAAGUCGGGAUUGCUAGUAAUCGCGGAUCAGCAUGCCGCGGUGAACACGUUCCCGGGCCUUGUACACACCGCCCGUCACACCAUGGGAGCCGGUAAUACCCGAAGUCAGUAGUCCAACCUCGUGAGGACGCUGCCGAAGGUAGGAUUGGCGACUGGGGUGAAGUCGUAACAAGGUAAC